AUUGAACGCUGGCGGCACGCCUAACACAUGCAAGUCGAGCGGUAGCGCGAUGUGUAGCAAUACACAUUGGCGACGAGCGGCGGACGGGUGAGGAACACGUAGGAAUCUACCCUCAAGCGGGGGACAACCAAGGGAAACUUUGGCUAAUACCGCAUAAUCUCGAGAGAGCAAAGCUGCAGCAAUGUGGCACUUGAGGAGGAGCCUGCGUCCGAUUAGCUAGUUGGUGAGGUAAUGGCUCACCAAGGCGAUGAUCGGUAACUGGUCUGAGAGGACGACCAGUCACACUGGGACUGAGACACGGCCCAGAGUCCGACGGGAGGCAGCAGUGGGGAAUAUUGGACAAUGGGGGCAACCCUGAUCCAGCGAUGCCGCGUGAGUGAAGAAGGCCUUCGGGUCGUAAAGCUCUUUAGGUUGGGAAGAAGGGUAUAGGAGGAAAUGCCUGUACUUUGACGGUACCGACAGAAUAAGCACCGGCAAACUCUGUGCCAGCAGCCGCAGUAA
rnacentral:rRNA from 1 species